rnacentral:rRNA from 1 species
GACAGAGGUGCCGAGCGUUAGGCGGAAUCACUGGGCUUAAAGCGUGUGUAGGCGGAUCUGUAAGUACCUUGUGAAAUCCCACGGCUCAACCGUGGAACUGCUUGGUAUACUGCGGGUCUUGAGCCACCUAGGGGCAAGUGGAACAAACGGUGGAGCGGUGAAAUGCGUUGAGAUCGGAAGGAACGCCCGUGGCGAAAGCGAGGCCCUGGACCCUUUCUGACGCUGAGACGCGAAAGCCAGGGGAGCGAACGGG